rnacentral:rRNA from 1 species
GACGAACGCUGGCGGCGUGCCUAAUACAUGCAAGUCGAACGCAUUUUCUUUCACCGUAGCUUGCUACACCGAAAGAAAAUGAGUGGCGAACGGGUGAGUAACACGUGGGUAACCUGCCCAUCAGCGGGGGAUAACACUUGGAAACAGGUGCUAAUACCGCAUAAUUCCAUUUACCGCAUGGUAGAUGGGUGAAAGGCGCUUUUGCGUCACUGAUGGAUGGACCCGCGGUGCAUUAGCUAGUUGGUGGGGUAACGGCCUACCAAGGCUGCGAUGUAUAGCCGACCUGAGAGGGUGAUCGGCCACACUGGGACUGAGACAUGGCCCAGACUCCUACGGGAGGCAGCAGUAGGGAAUCUUCGGCAAUGGACGCAAGUCUGACCGAGCAACGCCGCGUGAGUGAAGAAGGUUUUCGGAUCGUAAAACUCUGUUGUUAGAGAAGAACAAGGAUGAGAGUGGAAAGUUCAUCCCUUGACGGUAUCUAACCAGAAAGCCACGGCUAAC